GAUGAACGCUGGCGGCGUGCCUAAUACAUGCAAGUCGAGCGAACGGACGAGAAGCUUGCUUUUCUGAUGUUAGCGGCGGACGGGUGAGUAACACGUGGAUAACCUACCUAUAAGACUGGGAUAACUUCGGGAAACCGGAGCUAAUACCGGAUAAUAUUUUGAACCGCAUGGUUCAAAAGUGAAAGACGGUCUUGCUGUCACUUAUAGAUGGAUCCGCGCUGCAUUGGCUAGUUGGUAAGGUAACGGCUUACCAAGGCAACGAUGCAGAGCCGACCUGAGAGGGUGAUCGGCCACACUGGAACUGAGCCACGGUCCAGACUCCUACGGGAGGCAGCAGUAGGGAAUCUUCCGCAAUGGGCGAAAGCCUGACGGAGCAACGCCGCGUGAGUGAUGAAGGUAUUCGGAUCGUAAAACUCUGUUAUUAGGGAAGAACAUAUGUGUAAGUAACUGUGCACAUCUUGACGGUACCUAAUCAGAAAGCCACGGCUAACUACGUG
rnacentral:rRNA from 1 species